AUUCAAACUCAGGACAUUGCUUCUAUGAUGUCACUUAGUUCAUAGUGUGUGUCUGCCAGCAGGUAUUUGUAAUUUGACUAGUGCACUCUGAAGUUUUUGCUUCAUCCUUAAACUGAGCACUCUGAGAAGAAUGCCCAAAAUUGUAUUUUCUCAUAAUCAUCAGAAGUGAACUCCUCCGAGGAGUAACAUUUUCAAGUGAGAGAAAUCCUCCCAUCAGUUUGAAUUCCUGAUACUAAGCAGGUAAUCAAAAUGAUGACUGGCUCUGUAGGAUCAUCGUGACACCGUUUCCUGCACUGAAGCAGAGCAAGAUAAAUUGUCUGCUGUGAUUUCACUUCCAUCAAUAAAUUGCAGCAAUACACGGAGCUUUUCAUCUGCUCACUCCUGUUUUUCACACCAUUGCAGACUUUGAAGGUGCACUGUAAAAUAUGCCGCUGUCUUGAAGCAGUAGUCACAAGAGUUAUGUCUUGAAUUAACAUUCAUCUCAAGUAGGGCACUGAUUAAGCACCUUUCACUGCAAGGAAAUGGAACCAACCAACGUGUGAUCAGAUCAGACUGUCGAUCACAUAAGGUUUUAAGUGAAGGCAUCCGGAUGAGGGGGUGGUUUAUUUGAACUGAAUUAUUGAGUGUAAAUACUUAAGUAGUCAAAAAUAAAUCUUCUGAGUGAUGAAAUUCUCUGCUCACCAGUGAUGAAUGUUGGAGCAAUUAGUUUUAAUGGUAAGGUAAAUAGGCAAGGCUUGUUUAAUGGGAUACUUAAGUUAUCUUACUAGCUUUGAACUCAAGUAUACUUUGAACUCUGAUAUUCAGGGCAAGCAGCAUUUGAGUCCUGACGUGGUUUAAUGCAGCUAUAUAAAACAAGUUCUGGACACUGGAAUAAAAAGCAAAUGGCUUAUUUCUUCCAAAACCUUAUGGAUUUGUCUUGCCAUGGAUCUCUUUGUCCUGUAGUUCCUUGUGAGCACAUCAAAUGCCUCAAAUCUACAAUAAUUUCCAGUAUAUUCCUCAACAAUCUUGUAGAUCAAUAGUCAGUCUUUGGAGUUGUGGUACAGCAGUCAAUUCUUUAUAGUCUUAAAACUGAAGAUCCAGUGAUGCUUGCAUUAAGGGUGUAAGUUUUCUCCAUAUUGAACUAAGCUGGUGUUUCUCUUUGUGAAAACAUUUGGAAUUCGGCAGUAAAGAGCAAAGGAAAGAAUCUGCCAGCUGGAAAAGGAGCAAGCAGAGGAAGAAACUUUUCAACACCUCUUUGCGGUGGAGCUUUAAUGCUGGCACAUAACGUGGUUUUCUCUACACACACAUUGCAUAAAGUGAUCAGUGGAGAUAGUUGGCUUUCUUCCAUGCAUUCUUAAGGAGUGAUGAAUAAAGAGUAUUGCACGUAAUAA